GACGAACGCUGGCGGCGUGCUUAACACAUGCAAGUCGAACGCUGAAGCUCAGCUUUUGUUGGGUGGAUGAGUGGCGAACGGGUGAGUAACACGUGAGUAACCUGCCCCCUUCUUUGGGAUAACGCCCGGAAACGGGUGCUAAUACUGGAUAUUCACUGGUCUUCGCAUGGGGGUUGGUGGAAAGGGUUUUUCUGGUGGGGGAUGGGCUCGCGGCCUAUCAGCUUGUUGGUGGGGUGAUGGCCUACCAAGGCUUUGACGGGUAGCCGGCCUGAGAGGGUGACCGGUCACAUUGGGACUGAGAUACGGCCCAGACUCCUACGGGAGGCAGCAGUGGGGAAUAUUGCACAAUGGGCGCAAGCCUGAUGCAGCGACGCCGCGUGAGGGAUGGAGGCCUUCGGGUGGUGAACCUCUUUCGCUCAUGGUCAAGCCGCAACAAUGGUUGUGGUGAGGGUAGUGGGUAAAGAAGCGCCGGCUAACUACGU
rnacentral:rRNA from 1 species